rnacentral:rRNA from 1 species
CCAGACUCCUACGGGAGGCAGCAGUAGGGAAUCUUCCGCAAUGGGCGAAAGCCUGACGGAGCAACGCCGCGUGAGUGAUGAAGGUCUUCGGAUCGUAAAACUCUGUUAUUAGGGAAGAACAAAUGCGUAAGUAACUAUGCACGUCUUGACGGUACCUAAUCAGAAAGCCACGGCUAACUACGUGCCAGCAGCCGCGGUAAUACGUAGGUGGCAAGCGUUAUCCGGAAUUAUUGGGCGUAAAGCGCGCGUAGGCGGUUUUUUAAGUCUGAUGUGAAAGCCCACGGCUCAACCGUGGAGGGUCAUUGGAAACUGGAAAACUUGAGUGCAGAAGAGGAAAGUGGAAUUCCAUGUGUAGCGGUGAAAUGCGCAGAGAUAUGGAGGAACACCAGUGGCGAAGGCGACUUUCUGGUCUGUAACUGACGCUGAUGUGCGAAAGCGUGGGGAUCAAACAGGAUUAGAUACCCUGGUAGUCCACGCCGUAAACGAUGAGUGCUAAGUGUUAGGGGGUUUCCGCCCCUUAGUGCUGCAGCUAACGCAUUAAGCACUCCGCCUGGGGAGUACGACCGCAAGGUUGAAACUCAAAGGAAUUGACGGGGGCCCGC